rnacentral:rRNA from 1 species
GAUGAACGCUAGCGGCAGGCUUAAUACAUGCAAGUCGAGGGGCAGCAGGGUGUAGCAAUACAUCGCUGGCGACCGGCAUACGGGUGCGGAACACGUACGCAAUCUACCUUCAACUGGAGCAUAGCCCCGGGAAACUGGGAUUAAUACCCCAUAAUUUUCUGAGGCGGCAUCACCUUAUAAUUAAAGCUCAGGCGGCUGAAGAUGAGCGUGCGUCUGAUUAGAUAGUUGGCGGGGUAAUGGCCCACCAAGGCAACGAUCAGUAACUGGUCUGAGAGGAUGAUCAGUCACACGGGCACUGAGACACGGGCCCGACUCCUACGGGAGGCAGCAGUAGGGAAUAUUGGACAAUGGGCGCAAGCCUGAUCCAGCCAUCCCGCGUGAAGGAUUAAGGCCCUCUGGGUUGUAAACUUCUUUUCUCUGGGAAUAAAAACCGGUAUUCAUACUGGCUUGAAGGUACCAGAGGAAUAAGCACCGGCUAACUCCGUGCCAGCCGCCGCAGUAACAC